rnacentral:rRNA from 1 species
CCUACGGGAGGCAGCAGUGGGGAAUUUUGGACAAUGGGCGCAAGCCUGAUCCAGCCAUGCCGCGUGCAGGAUGAAGGCCUUCGGGUUGUAAACUGCUUUUGUACGGAACGAAAAGACUCCUUCUAAUAAAGGGGGUCCAUGACGGUACCGUAAGAAUAAGCACCGGCUAACUACGUGCCAGCAGCCGCGGUAAUACGUAGGGUGCGAGCGUUAAUCGGAAUUACUGGGCGUAAAGCGUGCGCAGGCGGUUAUGUAAGACAGAUGUGAAAUCCCCGGGCUCAACCUGGGAACUGCAUUUGUGACUGCAUAGCUAGAGUACGGCAGAGGGGGAUGGAAUUCCGCGUGUAGCAGUGAAAUGCGUAGAUAUGCGGAGGAACACCGAUGGCGAAGGCAAUCCCCUGGGCCUGUACUGACGCUCAUGCACGAAAGCGUGGGGAGCAAACAGGAUUAGAUACCCUGAUAGUCCACGCCCUAAACGAUGUCAACUGGUUGUUGGGUCUUCACUGACUCAGUAACGAAGCUAACGCGUGAAGUUGACCGCCUGGGGGUAGGUACGGCCGCGAGUUAGUUAAACGUUAAAGUUAGAGUUAGACGGCGUUGAGACGNGCGACGGACGACGACGAGGGAGGAGG